UGGCGCACGGGUGCGUAACGCGUGGGAAUCUACCCUUGGGUUCGGGAUAACAGUUGGAAACGACUGCUAAUACCGGAUGAUGACUUCGGUCCAAAGAUUUAUCGCCCAGGGAUGAGCCCGCGUAGGAUUAGCUAGUUGGUGAGGUAAAGGCUCACCAAGGCGACGAUCCUUAGCUGGUCUGAGAGGAUGAUCAGCCACACUGGGACUGAGACACGGCCCAG
rnacentral:rRNA from 1 species